GAUGAACGCUGGCGGCGUGCCUAACACAUGCAAGUCGAGCGAACGGACGAGAAGUUUGUUUCUCUGAUGUUAGCGGCGGACGGGUGAGUAACACGUGGAUAACCUACCUACAAGACUGGGAUAACUUCGGGAAACCGGAGAUAAUAUCGGAUAAUAUUUUGAACCGCAUGGUUCAAAAGUGAAUGACGGUCUUGCUGUCACUUAUAGAUGGUUCCGCGCUGCAUUAGCUAGUUGGUAAGGUAACGGCUUACUAAGGCAACGAUGCAUAGCCGACCUGAGAGGGUGAUCGGCCACGCUGGAACUGGGACACGGUCCAGGCUCCUACGGGAGGCAGCGGUAGGGGAUCUUCCGCAUUGGGCGGAAGCCUGACGGAGCAGCGCCGCGUGAGUGAUGAAGAUCUUCGGAUCGUGAAACUCUGUUAUUGGGGAAGAACAGAUGUGUAAGUGGCUGUGCACAUCUUGACGGUACCUAAUCAGGAAGCCACGGCUAACUACGUG
rnacentral:rRNA from 1 species